UACGUAGGGGCGAGCGUUGUCCGGAUUUAUUGGGCGUAAAGAGCGUGUAGGCGGCCAGGUAGGUCCGUUGUGAAAACUCGAGGCUCAACCUCGAGACGUCGGCGGAAACCCUCUGGCUAGAGUCCGGAAGAGGAGCGUGGAAUUCCUGGUGUAGCGGUGAAAUGCGCAGAUAUCAGGAGGAACACCAGCGGCGAAGGCGGCGCUCUGGGCCGGAACUGACGCUGAGGAGCGAAAGCGUGGGUAGCAAACAGG
rnacentral:rRNA from 1 species